rnacentral:tRNA from 29 species
CGCGGGAUGGAGCAGCUCGGUAGCUCGUCGGGCUCAUAACCCGAAGGUCGCAGGUUCAAAUCCUGCUCCCGCAACCA